AAGGGAGACCUAAUUCAGGUAGGAGACGAAAAAAAGUAGUCCCUACCAAGAAUCAAUCCCAAAAGGUCGGAGCGAGGCAAAAUUGGCUUUCAAACUAGGUUCUGGGUUCACACAAGACCUGAAUCAGGAACAAGGGCUAUUAGCUCAGGUGGUUAGAGCGCACCCCUGAUAAGGGUGAGGUCCCUGGUUCGAGUCCAGGAUGGCCCACCUGCACAGGUGGAAGAAAGAAAAGAAGCUCCGAAUCAGCACCUUAUCUUACUUAUAUAGUAAGAGAGAAUGCUGGCUCUGAGUUCAGAGUCCAGAGGAACCUUGAAAACUGCAUAGAGCUAGGUGAAAAAGCCAAAAAAGAAGACCGCAAGGUCAAGCUAAUAAGGGCUAACGGUGGAUACCUAGGCAC
rnacentral:tRNA from 1 species